rnacentral:rRNA from 1 species
UACGUAGGCAGCAAGCGUUGUUCGGAGUUACUGGGCGUAAAGAGUAUGUAGGCGGUUGCUUAAGUUUGGUGUGAAAUCUCCCGGCUUAACUGGGAGGGUGCGCCGAAAACUGAGCGGCUGGAGUGCCGGAGAGGAACGCGGAAUUCCUGGUGUAGCGGUGAAAUGCGUAGAUAUCAGGAGGAACACCAGUGGUGUAGACGGCGUUCUGGACGGUUACUGACGCUGAGAUACAAAAGCGUGGGGAGCAAACAGG